CACGUAGGGCGCAAGCGUUGUCCGGAAUUAUUGGGCGUAAAGAGCUCGUAGGCGGUCUGUUGCGUCCGCUGUGAAAACUCGGGGCUUAACCCCGAGCCUGCAGUGGAUACGGGCAGACUAGAGGUAGGUAGGGGAGAAUGGAACUCCUGGUGUAGCGGUGGAAUGCGCAGAUAUCAGGAGGAACACCGGUGGCGAAGGCGGGUCUCUGGGCCGAUACUGACGCUGAGGCACGGAAGCUAGGGGAGCAAACAGG
rnacentral:rRNA from 1 species